CGUCAAAUCAUCAUGCCCUUUAUGAUCUGGGCUACACACGUACUACAAUGGCCGGUACAGACGGCAGCGCAGCCGCGAGGCGAAGCUAACCCGAGAAAGCCGGUCCCAGUUCGGAUUGCAGGCUGCAACUCGCCUGCAUGAAGUCGGAAUCGCUAGUAAUCGCAGGUCAGCAUACUGCGGUGAAUACGUUCCCGGGCCUU
rnacentral:rRNA from 1 species